GAUUAAAUAGUCUAUAUUUAAGAUAUUAAAUUGCAAGUUUAAGGAUAAAUUAAUUAAUUUUUUAAUCU
rnacentral:tRNA from 1 species